CGCGUAGGGUGCGAGCGUUGUCCGGAAUUAUUGGGCGUAAAGAGCUCGUAGGCGGUGUGUCGCGUCGGCCGUGAAAACCUGCAGCUUAACCGUGGGCUUGCGGUCGAUACGGGCAUCACUGGAGUUCGGCAGGGGAGACUGGAAUUCCUGGUGUAGCGGUGAAAUGCGCAGAUAUCAGGAGGAACACCGGUGGCGAAGGCGGGUCUCUGGGCCGAUACUGACGCUGAGGAGCGAAAGCGUGGGGAGCGAACAGG
rnacentral:rRNA from 1 species